GACUACAAUGUCUCCGAUGAGAAUGGUUCAGAUACUCCAGGGGAGUCAGACCGGAUGAACUCAGCUUCUCUGAAACUCCCUACACUGAUUUGGGUGGCAGCACAUCAGCCCAACAGUGCUUUGCUUGCCUCGGUGAGCACCCUGAAAGAGGUGUCCCUCCAGACGGAUGUGGUCCCCGCUGGCCAGCCCUUGGAGGAACACCUGGACAAGGAGCAACAUUGGGCCGACACCCAGGAGGACAGCCUGACAAGGGUAAAGGAAGACCUGGUCUCCAUGGAGCACAUCCCGGACGAAGGCCUGAAGAUAUGCAGCGGAGGUGGGGACUUCAAACAGUACCAGGGAGAUAGGCAGAAGAAGCUUGGGGGAUGCUUCAGAUGGAUUGGGGAGUGGCUGUCUAGGAGCAAGGGAGAAGAGAUGAGAGACAGAGGGAGGAUGGAACAGAAGCCUGGCACCCUGAUCAUGGAUAUCCCCUGCCCUUUGACCCCCCCCAGCCACACCCUUGCUUCCUGGCUCACCGUGGAGUACAUCCCUCACCCAAAUAGGGCACGCCUGGCUCCCAUCACCAAUGUGAGUGAAAAAGGCAAGAAACUCCUUCUGGAAAUUGCCAGAGAUUCCCAACAGGAGCAGCAAUGAUGUUCCUGUGUCAGUUUGACCCGGG
ensembl:lncRNA